CAAGUUGCUAUUAUUGCUGGCUCCCUAAUUAUAGCUAAAUUGCUAAAUGUCAAGAUUGAAGGGAUUGGAAUGUGGGCAUUUCCUACCAAAAACAUUCUUUUUCUUGAUGCGACUCGAGUUUUGUCAAGUUCAAAGUGCGAAGCAGCCCUGACUCUGGAACCUCUGGAGUGGCUAGGAGGUCCUGGGAAGGGCGCCCUAGUUAGUGGAUCGCAGCACAAGACCGACUCCCAAGCCUAUGCAGUAUCGCGAGCCAGAAUAGAGGUGGCCUUCUUCAGCUUUGGGCAACCAUAGUACCCGAAGGCGGACUGCUGUUGACCUACGUACGUUAUUCCCCUCUCCCUCCCCCACGGCCCAGCGUCCUGUGGUUGCGUCGCCCACCUCGCCUCCGCAGCAUCGAAGGCCAACCUUCGCACUCCCAGGCUGCGGGCGCGGGGAGCAGACGCGCUGUCCCCCGGCCGGCCCCACGCGCACGGCGCCCCGAAUCCCGAGCCAGCCCAGAGUGGGCGGCGCGUCGGGCUGGGUCUCGGCACAGCCUCGCCGGCCCGGAUCCCCAUUGGUCGUCACCUCGGCGGGAGGGCGGUCCGGUCCCCGCACCUGCCGUCGCCCCUCCACGGGCAGAUUGGCGGCUGCGGGACACCGGCGCCCAGAAGCCGCAGCACGAGAGGGCAGGCCUGAGGCUCAUCCGACCUCCACGCGGCGGGCCCUGUCCUUUUGCUGCCGCGGCCG
rnacentral:lncRNA from 1 species